rnacentral:rRNA from 1 species
GUACACUCCUACGGGAGGCAGCAGUGGGGAAUAUUGCACAAUGGGCGCAAGCCUGAUGCAGCGACGCCGCGUGGGGGAUGAAGGCCUUCGGGUUGUAAACUCCUUUCGCUAGGGACGAAGCUUUUUUGUGACGGUACCUAGAUAAGAAGCACCGGCUAACUACGUGCCAGCAGCCGCGGUAAUACGUAGGGUGCGAGCGUUGUCCGGAAUUACUGGGCGUAAAGGGCUCGUAGGUGGUUUGUCGCGUCGUCUGUGAAAUUCUGGGGCUUAACUCCGGGCGUGCAGGCGAUACGGGCAUAACUUGAGUGCUGUAGGGGUAACUGGAAUUCCUGGUGUAGCGGUGAAAUGCGCAGAUAUCAGGAGGAACACCGAUGGCGAAGGCAGGUUACUGGGCAGUUACUGACGCUGAGGAGCGAAAGCAUGGGUAGCGAACAGGAUUAGAAACCCUGGUAGUCCCAUG